rnacentral:rRNA from 1 species
AUGAAGAAUGGGGCCGGCCGAUCGGGACGAGACAAAACUGAAGCAGAAGUAGCCGGGGAGGUAGCCGUUGUCCUUUUCUCCGGGGGAGUCCGUUUCCGCUCCGCGCGUGGGCAUUCAAUUCGAAUUUCGAACGGCGACAAGGAAAGCGGGCCCCGAGGGCGAGCACGCUGGGUCGCUGGGCGCGGGCCCGGCGCUCAAGGUGGGGCCCACGUGUUUGCUGGUUCAGUUGGGAGGAGGCACGGCGGAGCUCCCGUCGCGCAUCGGUUUCCGGGAAAGAAGGACCGUCCGGAACGUGGCUUUCUCGUGGGGCGGGCCCCGGACGCUGACCCGCCGGGUCCACGGCGAACGUGGGCGCACAUCGCUCGCCACACCAGCGCCACACCCAACAGUGCAGCGCCUAGCUCGGGGGCGUUGCACUCCAGGCCACCGUGGCAUCCCUGGGCCCCGGACCCAGCAGUGCAGCGCCUACGAGAUGGCAGCCGCCCGCUCCCCCUCCCCCCACCCCACCCAUUCGUUCCAGGAGUUACAGAACAGCGCGGGCGGCUUCCUCCUCUCCCCCUCUCAAUCCCCUCUCCCAAAUCCUUCAGAUCGGACGAUUUGAUCCGUGCAUUUCUUCACCAAUCCAUCCUAGAAGGCACUCUCCUCCGAUCCCCUUCUUUCUAUCCAUACAAAAUAUGGAUGGUUUGGCUUCUCGAUGAUCAUUGGGACAAACAACACCGGUCGUACGCUAUGUCGGUGGAGCAGCGGGAGCUUGCACCUCUGAAGCUUCGGUUGGAUAGGAAAAAGCAGCGGAAGAUCAAGGAUUGGGCCAAGCAUCACAGGAAGUAUGUCGUGCAGUUCGCUCUUAGUGUGGAGCAAGCAAGGGCUGGAAAACGAGCCCAUCUUCGUGAGCACUGCCCGAUCGCGUUCAACAACUAUCUCACAUGGUUUCUUGAAAGUACCCGCGUGGAGGUAUGCAAGCCGGCGUAUGCUGAGGAGAUUCUGGAAGAACCCACCAUUUUUGAUGAGGUAGCCCAGCACCAGUACAACACAUUAGUCAGGAAAGGCAACUCAGUGAUCCCUUCAGCUCCAAUGAUGAACUUUGUGAUCAAGAAAGCAGCUGAUGAGACCGAGACUAUUCUGGAAACAACCCAUCUGGCAAAAGCGAUGGGGAAGCGCCAGGGCCAAAAGUUAAGGCGGCUAUCAAACCUUUUCGGUUGUCGUGACCCCGAGUAUGUAUCACCAGAACGGUCUAGGUCGGCGACACCAUCAGAUCCCGCUUCGGGGCAGGGCCAUGGUGAACCUUUCGAGGAUGAGGAUGUGGGUGUGGUCACCCAAGAGGUUGCUGAUGAUAUGACCGUGGGGACGUACCAGGCUCGGUCUGCAUACGAGUUGAAGCCUAGGACGGGAAUCAACAAGUACACACCUGAAGACUUCACCCAAAGAGGCCAAAGAGGCAAAAGGACGGUCGGCACCUCGCGGAUGGCGGCUUUGGAUGACUAUUUGGAUGACUAUGUAGAUGACGUGGACGAACCGGAGCCGGAGCCGGAGCGGGUUCCUCUUCCUAGGAAGGUGAAGAAGAUAAGCGUCAAGAGGGGGGGAGGAGCCAGCAAGCGCGGAAAACACUAG